CGUAAACAGAGGGAAGCGAAAUGGCGACAUGGAGCGAACCCCAAAAAUAACGUCCCAGUUCGGAUUGCAGGCUGCAACCCGCCUGCAUGAAGCCGGAAUCGCUAGUAAUCGCGGAUCAGAAUGCCGCGGUGAAUACGUUCCCGGGUCUUGUACACACCGCCCGUCACACCAUGGGAGUCGAUAACGCCCGAAGUCAGUGACCCAACCGAAAGGAGGGAGCUGCCGAAGGCGGGAUGGAUAACUGGGGUGAAGUCGUAACAAGGUACC
rnacentral:rRNA from 1 species